CACAGACAGACCCAUUUCAGACCACGGUGAGGACCAAGACAAGCGUACGGCAUUCCUUAUAGAAAGAAAAGACAGAACAGAAUUGGCAACUCCCUAUACAGUGGGAGCAAAGAGAGAAAAAAAAAGCCCUUCAGAUGCAUCCCAAAUAACAUGCUGUCUCACAACAUAAGGUCAUUUUCUCUGGAUUAACAUUUUGUCCUCUGUUGAGUAAAUCAACAGACAUCGAGUACCUUCCAUGGACCAAGCAUUGUUCUGAGGGUAUUUCCAGUCUGAUUUCUUCAUUUAUUUUUUCUAAAACCUCUUGUAAGAUUGGUAAUAUUCUUUUUUUUUUUUUUAAUGGAAAAACUGGGCUAAGAACUUGUGCUGAGUUAAAGUCUCAUAGAAAGAAGCAGAGGAGCUGACAUUGGUAGUUGGAGUCUUUAGCAAGUACUUCUCUGGGAACCAUCAACAUGAAACCUUAUCAUAUCCAUGAUUGGCACUUGGGAUGUGAAUUUGUGAACGUUCCUUCAUGAAAACUGCAUUGCAUAGUGGAGAGAGGGGACACCUAGCUAACCCUUAUUAAAUUAUGAGUAUGUUUGAGGUGCUUUUGCCAGAAUAAAGAAAGAAUGGUGA